UACGGAGGGUGCAAGCGUUAUCCGGAUUUAUUGGGUUUAAAGGGUCCGUAGGCGGUUUUGUAAGUCAGUGGUGAAAGCCCAUCGCUCAACGGUGGAACGGCCAUUGAUACUGCAAGACUUGAAUUAUUGGGAAGUAACUAGAAUAUGUAGUGUAGCGGUGAAAUGCUUAGCGAUUACAUGGAAUACCAAUUGCGAAGGCAGGUUACUACCAAUAUAUUGACGCUGAUGGACGAAAGCGUGGGGAGCGAACAGG
rnacentral:rRNA from 1 species